UAACUUGUCAGAAAGGUAUGUUGACGUGUCAGAAAGGUAUGCUAACUUGUCAGAAAGGUAUGUUGACUUGUCAGAAAGGUAUGUUGACUAGUCAGAUCAGUAUGCUAACUUGUCAGAUCAUUAUGUUGACUUGUCAGAUCAUUAUGUUGACAUGUCAGAUCAUUAUGUUGACUUGUCAGAUCAUUAUGUUAAUUUGUCAGAAAGGUAUGUUAACUUGUCAGAAAGGUAUGUUGACUUGUCAGAAAGGUUUGUUAACUUGUCAGAAAGGUAUGUCGACUUGUGUUUUGCAGUUAGUGGCUUACAUGUAAGAAUGAAAAAGUGAAGAUGACGAACAGUGAUCAAGCUCAUAACUCCUGUAAAGAAUACAAAACCGAGAGUAUGGCAAACACGAACCUCUGGACACAUCAGAAGCGGGGUCAGGUGCGUAGGAGGAAUAAACAUCCCCUGUCGACCUGGUACACCCGCCGUGAACCCUAUGUCUUGAUCAGAUACGCGGACAAAUCUGUAGUCAAGAUGGGUAUAUACAAAACGGCUUAACAGUUGAUAUGAAACACACCAGACAGCAUACGACCUAAUGAAAAGUUAUAGUUGCAAAUGUAUACAAAUACUAGUAUUACAUUGAUAUAUAACAUAAUAUUAUAACGACCAUAGUAUUUGCAUAAUGCUGACUUUGGCAAGAUACCGAGGUCCUGUUUUCAGGAUUAUCAUCUGGCCAUAAAAAUCUGACAAGUCGACUUAUGAUAAAGAUCUGUGGAAAUAAAGAUCUGAUAUAAUUAUCUGAAAAGUGGAUGGCAUAAUUAUCUGACAAGAGGAUAGCACAAAUAUGCUACCAUACACAAACUACCACCCAUUUCUGAUAAUUCAGUAUGGUUUCUGACAAUUCGACAUUAUUAUCUGGCAGGUCGUCACAACAUCUGGGGAAUGGACAUCAUUAUCUUGCGUGCAAUUAUUGACAUUUUUAGGUCAAUACGAUGCUUUAGCCAACUGAGAAAUACAAUAUUCCACGAACCCGGAGGGUGAGGUACAUAUUGUACUUUGAGGGUAGUUAGAGAUUGUAAAGACUAAUAAAAUGCAAAUAUUUUUUUUUUUAUCAUACUACUGAAUAAUCUAACACUUCGAAACAAGCUACUAAAGCUUACAAGACGAUACCUGAUCGGCCAUCUUUGUUUACAGCUAGAGUACAAGAUUUAUCGAAAGUUAUAAGAGAGGCGAGUAUUCAUUGGACAACCAAAUAUAAUAACAAAUCGAAUUAAUUUGGUAAUCCCAAGUUCAUUUGAAAAAAUCAAAUGAUGUUAUAUUCACUUCACGUGGAGAUGAAUGCAACGUUCUAUUUUUUUUUCUAGUUUGUUGAAUCUUAACCAGAAAACUCAGAAUUAUUCAAUCAAAUAAUAAAAAAAGUCACAUAUCUUGACAUAAUUAUCUGAAAAGUCGACAUUAUAUUCUGACAAAAUCAUGUUAACCUGUCAAACUUGUCAGAAAAAAAUGUCGACUUACCAAAUAAUCAUGUUGACUUGUGGAUGACAGAAAAAAUACAAACAGAAAUUCAAUUUAUGUUGAUUAUGUUUAUAACCAGUGUCAUCCUUUACGAUAAAUAUAGUAUGAUGUACUGGGCCUACAGGGGGCACCGUUCACUCCUCUCAUCCCCUCUCGAACACUUCUCUUCAUAUGCAUUCCCUCCCUUUUCUCUCUCUUUAUCCUUUUACCUUACCAGCCCCACAUAUACCAGCAUGUAUUAGCUAUGGCGAAACGUUAAGCAGUUAUAAAAAAAAAUUGAUAGACUUAAAACGACUUUUUACUUAAACAAUACAAUACAAUUGAUUUUGACAAUAAUUGGCUAUUCUUCAGUAAAUGAAAUCGAGAAUUCAGAUAGUAAUUCGUGUUAAUUAUGAAACAAAUAAUAUCGAACAAUAAGAUUUAUAAUUAGUGUUACGAAACAAUGAAAAAUGAUCAGCUUCUACUCAUUGCAAAUUAAUUUGCAUGUUUGUUUUUUGUGCAAGCGACUUGUACUGCGAUCUUUUUCAAGAUCAAAAUGAAAAGUAGUCUUUGGGUAAUUCUUCUGAAAAUCUAAUUCUCAAAUUUCUGAAAGCUCUUCAGAGAUUUGAUAAGAAUCGGUUAGCAGGUAAACAUGGCUGAGCAUCGACUUCUGCUCCUGGAGGGUGUCCAAAACUGGUUCUAAAAACAGAUAUCUGACUUGAGUACGAUCAUAUAAUAUUUCUCUCAGAAAUGUGAAUACAUUUAAUGUAAGUUAACGGUAUGGAAUAUUUGGACCUCAAUAACACACGUAGUAUUUAUUGUCCCUAUGACGUCAUACGUCAUGGGAAGAUAGAUUAACCUAUAAUGUAUAAAAUUCAUUACAGCUCUCUGAACGAAUCGCACAAGAUGAUGCGUAUUAAAUUUAUCGGGUAAAAUGGUUUUGAGUCCUGUGACAGACUCUUUUACUCGUAUUGAGACGACACGUGAAGUGCGAAGUUGACCUAUGCAUGAUGCCCAGGGGCGUAACAGUGCGGCUUCUUUAUCGUGCCAACACCCGCCGUGACACGGAAAUUCGGUCAUAAAAGACCCUUAACUUUAACUUCCAAUGCCUGGCGCUUGGCAGGAAUAGGCCAACAGAGAUCAAGUCCGGUACCUCCACUGCAACCUCCUAAACUCAGUCGUAACCGAAGCCCAGAAUGAUAUUUUUAUCUAAACUACAAGUGAAAAUAUGCAAAUUGAUGAUGUAUCAAAUUUAUUUUCAUAUAGUCUCGUAGCAAUACGAGAAAUCUUGUACAGUUUGAUUAGUAACCCUACUAAUGAAACAUGUAUAUACUAACUUUAAGGACCUGCAAGUUUCGAACCAUGAAAGUUGUUUUUGGUUCCCUUCAUAAUCACCGACCUUCACCAUAUGUUUUUAUACGUAUUAUGAAGUCAUUUAACCUAGUAAUUGGCAUGGCACAUGUGUUUCUUGCAUAAAACUGCCAAACGGUAGAUGACUUUUCAUCGCGUUAUUUGUGUAUUUGUGUGCAUCAGGUCAGUCAUUGCUAGCACAAAACAGUUUGUCAUUGAGCGGAACUUUUUUGGGUUGUUACCUAACAGCGCGUGUGAUUCUCUGAACACAUGUGUUAUGCAGAAAUGCAAAGAAGCUCUGCAUCCGUAAUUUCCACGCUCAUAUGUCAUUUGAUUCAACAUUUUGCGGAUAUUGUUAAUGGCAUUGAAGAUGUUUCACAACCCCCACAUCCCUGACAAAACCCAGGUUUAGCAGUUUCAUCUGAUGGCAGAAGGCAGUAACUUCAUUCUAGUCCAUCUCACUAUAGUCAAGGAAGGAAACAGACGCAUCUUUCAGAAAGAACACACCUGUAAUCUAACGAUUGAGGUAGCAGGGGACAGUUUCGCACUAUAGGCCCGGUCAACUUUUUCAAAAAAAAUGGAAAUACCCCAUAUUUGAAGUGAUAUUACAUGUGUAAAAAUGUAUACGAUAAUUUUAGGAUGCAUGUCAAAUGUAGCUAAGUGCUUAAUAAAAAUGUUGAUAUACAACAUGUAGGUGUCACCAUGAUUCCUAGCAUAUAGAUGGGUGCAAAUACGAAACUAAGACACGUGGUCAGUUGCUGAAGAAAUUCCGGUGAAAACAUGCAGGGUCCAGCAAAAGUUCUGUAGCUGUGAGGGAAGGUGGAUGGCCCCAUAUGAGAGGUAGAAUUUUGAGAAGGGCAGAUAGGGUUCUUGAUUGUGCACAGUGUCUAAAUCCCCAUGUUUGGUACUGUGGUGGUGUAGGGGUGGUUCGGAUUAGCCCAAAUGAGAGAAAA